rnacentral:pre_miRNA from 1 species
CAAGUACUCCCUCCGUUCGGAAUUACUUGUCUCGAAUAUAGAUGUAUCUAAAACUAAAAUAUAUCUAGAUAUAUUCAUUUCUGUGACAAGUAAUUCCGAACGGAGGGAGUAAUUC